UCUAUUUUGGCAGAUAAGUGCGAUGAAUUUAGAAUUCAGGGAUGUAAAGUUGUGUAUUUACAAGUAGAA
rnacentral:tRNA from 1 species